CGACUUCUGAAGAGUCGCAAACUAGGACGAAACAGCUGUCUAGUAC
rnacentral:hammerhead_ribozyme from 1 species